CGUGACAACAUCCAGGGCAUCACGAAACCUGCGAUUCGUAGGUUAGCGAGAAGAGGUGGCGUGAAGAGGAUCAGUGGUUUGAUCUACGAGGAAACCAGAGGAGUUCUGAAGAUAUUCUUGGAGAACGUGAUUCGCGAUGCUGUGACCUACACUGAGCACGCUAGGAGGAAGACGGUUACUGCUAUGGAUGUUGUUUAUGCUCUUAAGAGGCAGGGAAGGACCCUCUAUGGUUUUGGAGGCUAAAAAGUUCUUAGUGUUAUUGGAUUCUAUUGCAGCGAAAAAAUACCUGUUCUUUUGAAUCGGUGUGAUGUUUUGGUUUAGGUUUGUUCUGUAAGAUAUGAAGUUUAUUCUGUUCUGUUCUGCAUAGAAAAUGUACAACUUUAAUUGAAAUUAAACGAAGGAGCAACGUUUUCGUGCUUAUACAUUUUUUUCCACGGUUAUGAAGAUUUUUUCGCUGUGGUUCUUAGGUUAUUGCAUUGUGUGGAUUAAUUUGGGGGUAAUCGAAAACUGUGUUUAGGUUCUGUUUUUAAUGUAGUUUUUGAUUGUAAAGGAGUGAUAUGUUACGCAUUAAGUAACUGACAAAUUUUCAAUUGGAAAUGCUAGGAUAUUAGUUGGAAUUGUAUCUAUUUUCCUUGAAUUUGUCAUUAGAGGAUGCAAGUUCAAACCAAAGCUUUUAGAUUUUUCUUGAGUUUGUUGAUAUGAACAUUUUAUUGUUGGGGAACAAGUAUUAUUAUUAUUAUUAUUCAAGAAAAAUAAAUAUUGAAAGGUUCUCUGUCUUGGUAUUUGAUUUGUGGUAGAAAAGUGCAAUGGUCAUUGAUCAUGUGGAAGGAUUUGGAUGUUUUAGUCCGGUUUUAGAGUGAAGAGAUAAACAAACAAUGCAGAUGUGUACUUUGUUAUGGUUGAGAUUAGAAUGGGUUGAGAUUAGAAUGUGCAGUUUGUUAUGGUUGAGAUUUGGGAAUUUUGUAGUCUUGUUGAUUUUUAAUAGUAAAUGUUGUUAAAUACUAUAUGCAUGUGUAUCCGUCUAUAUUUCUGAAGGACUUAAAUGACUUAGAAGUGAAUUCUAUAUAAUAAAUUCUAUAUAAUAAAAAUUAUUUCAAUAAGCUUCUUUAUUUAUUUGACAGCUGUUUAAAGAUGGUAAGUUUAGUCUUUUUACAUAAACUUGCUAAUUGUAUCACCCUUUUGAUAAGUACACCAUCUUCCUUUUUAAAUCUUAAAUAUCCAUUAUAUCUUUUCUUUCAUCCCUGUCACACAUUCUCUCUUAAACGCGUAGGCAGUUGUAUUACUUGUGCGUAUGCAUGAGUAUCAUAUUAGUGAUUUUAACUAAAGAUCGUUACUUUGAUGACUUGAAGUCAUGCACUGGUAUGACUUGUGUAUUAUCUAAUCAUGUCGAUAAUGAAGUGAAUUGAUUUUAACUAAAGCUUGUUACUAUUGAUGUAAUGAUGUAAAUCAUGUGACAUUAUAUAUGAUUGAAUAAUACAUAAAUUAUAUCAGUGUGACUUUGUUUUAGGUGACACCUGAAGUAAUAAUGACGAUCUUAACUAAAUUAAAUAAAUUUGAAAUUUUAAGAGUAAAUAGACAAUUUAUUUCCUUACUUUGUACCCUUGUUGUAUAUUAGUCUCUAACUUAAUGAAAAAUCUAAAAUAGUUCCUAUCUUUAUAUAAGUGUUGUAAAAUAGUCUUUGUCGUUACAUUUGAAGGUAACAUCAUCAAUGAGGUGUCCACGUAGUGCCAGACAGACUAAUAUGCAUUGAUAUGCAUCUUAUGCCGCUUCCACAUGGAAGAACCCCAACCCAAGCCAAUUCUACAUAAACCCCUCGGUUAUCGGGACCCAUACUCCAAACCAUUGCCACCUCCGCUGCGAAAGCCGAUGCUGCCACCCUCGUUCCAGCCAAAACCCAAGAGGCGAAGCUGUUGCCGCAUAUGUUGCUACACCUCGACUACGACCCCUCCCUCCCGGAGUUCCACCUCGACUCCUUCCGCGUCCCCAAACUCAACUUCACCGGAGUUCCAUAGGCAGAAUGACGCAAUGCAUAAAAAAUGUUUCUAGAAUUCGUUUGGCAUAAUGGAAGCACCAGUAGUACAAGGCAUAUGUCUGCACAGGGUGGAUCACACGUUCACCUUUGUAGCCAAAAUAUAGCAGGAGUUGCAUGCAGGAUUGAACUAGUGCUGUCACCAAUAUUUGAUUUUAUUUCACCACCCAAUAAAAAUUGGGUUAUGUUUUCAUAAGCUGAGGAACAUUCAAAUAUUUCUAUUCAACUUCAAUUGUUGGAUCGAGUGGCCUCAGAAUAAUUAAGAAGGGGGGGGGGGUUGAAUUAAUUAUUCCUAAACCUUUACUAAUUAAAAAAUUACUCUUUUAAGGCUUUUACUUUUGUUGUUAAGAGAAUAUGGAGUAGAAGAGAAACUUAACAGAAAGUAAAAGCGGAAAUUAAAUGCACAGCAGAAAGUAAAAGAGUAGGGAAGAAGGAAACAAACACACAAGAGUUUUUAUACUGGUUCGGCAACAACCUGUGUCUACAUCCAGUUCCCAAGCGACUUGCGGUCUUUGAGAUUUCUUUCAACCUUGUAAAAAUCCUUUUACAAGCAAAGAUCCACAAGGGAUGUACCCUCCCUUGUUCUCUUUGAACCUAGUGGAUGUACCCUCCACUAGAACUGAUCCACAAGAGAUGUACCCUCUCUUGUUCUCAGUCAAACCCAAGUAGAUGUACCCUCUACUUGUAUCACAAAGGAUGUACCCUCCAAUGUGUUGAGACAAAGAUCUCAGGCUGUUAAACCUUUGAUACUUUGUGAAUGGGGAUACAAAAGAAUUCUCAGGCGGUUAGUCCUUUGAACACUUUUGUAUUAGGGAAUGGGAAGAAUCAAAAGAAUUCUCAGACUGUGUCGUUUUGAAUUCUUUGACAAGGGAGAAGGGAGACACAAAAGAAUUUAGGCGGUUAGUCCUUCGUUCUUUUGGAAAAGGGAGAAGAGAGACACAAAAAGAAUUCAGGCGGUUAGUCCUUGGCGAAUUCUUUUUGGCAAAGGGAGAAGAGAAUGAAAAGAUGAAUAGCACAAGUUUUCAAGGUUUAGAAAACCAGAAAACUUCAGAAAGCUUUUGGUACAAAGAAGAAGAAGAAGUUCAAAGAGAUUCAAGGCUUGUAAAGAAUUGAUUGGAAAAGUAAAAGUAUUGAAUGAAUUGAAUUAAUUUGCAAAACAAAGCCUUGCUUUUAUAGACUCUUCAUGUCUGGUCAAGAAGACCAUUUAGAAUAGUUAUAACUUUUUAGAAAAACUUAAAACCAAUUUGAAAAAGUCAAAACCUUUUUGAAGAGUUACAUCUUUUGAUUUAUCAGAAACAGUCACUGGUAAUCGAUUACCAAAUUAGUGUAAUCGAUUACACAAGGCUUUUAAGUGAAAGGAUGUGACUCUUCACAUUUGAAUUUGAAUUUCAACGUUCAAGGGCACUGGUAAUCGAUUACCAAAACAUUGUAAUCGAUUAUAGCUUUUUGAAAAUAAUUGGAACGUUGUAAAUUUAGUUUGAAAACUUUUUCAAACUCAUUUUGCUACUGGUAAUCGAUUACAACAAUAUGGUAAUUGAUUACCAGAGAGUAAAAACUCUUUGGUAAAAGGUUUUGUCAAAAACUCAUGUGCUAUUCAAAGUUUUGAAAAACUUUUUAAUACUUAUCUUGAUUGAGUCUUUUCUUUAUUCUUGAAUCUUGAGUCUUGAAUCUUGAUCUUGAUUCUUGAGAUCUUGAACCUUGAAUCUUGAAUCUUGAUUCUAGGCUUUCUUCUUGAGUCUUGAAUUCUUCUUGAUUCUUCUCUUGAACUCUUGACUUUUUCUUGAUUCACUUGAGAUGUUCUUUGAUUCACUUGAGUUGUUCUUUGAUCUUUGAGCUUUUUGUUCAUCACCUUUGUCAUCAUCUUUUGUUGUCAUCAUUGUUAUCAUCAAAACACCUUUGAAUCACAUUCACCAUGAAGCCUUGCUUCUACAUUCUCCCCCUUUUUGAUGAUGACAACUUCUGAAAUCAAGAAACACACACACACUUUUUCCUAGUCGAUUACUCUCAUAAAUUCUCCCCCUUUGUUUUUGAAUUUAUGCUUAUCUUAAAAAUAAGUUGAUUACUCAUGUGAAUUCUUGAUUUAAUCCCAUUUCUCUCCCCCUUUGGCAUCAACAAAAAGCCAAAGUGCGUAUCAAACAAAUUUAAUUUAAACAUCCAUACAAUAUUCAUGAAAAAAAAUAUCAACCAAAUCAUGAAGCAAGAAGCAAGAACCAUGAAAACCAUGAAGCAAACAACCAUGAAUAGAUUAAUUAUAAACUCCACAUAGUCAAAUAACAUACUUAAUAUUGGUCCAAACAUACCAUGCAAAUAAGGAAAUAGUAAAUUGUUCAAAUACCAUAAUAAUAUAGCCAAAAUACAAGGCUGAAAAUCAAAGUAGUAAUAAUAAUAUAAUUCUAAGAUGAUGGUGGCGGUGGUGGUGGAAGAUCGAAGCUUGACCGAAUGUAAGAUACAUCUUCUUCAACCUUUGUCAUUCUUGACUCCAUUUCAUUGAAACGCAUAUCCACUUGCAAUUCCAAAGUAUCAAACCUCUUAGCAACAAAGGUUUGAAGACCAUCAAACCUUUCCAAAAUCUUCAAAAGAAGAGAUGAAUCUUCUCCAUCAUGUCCUUCUUCACCAACAUUUCUAGCACCCUUCUUUACCCAAGAGUCAUCAUGCUCCUUAAUAUAACCAAAGGAUGCUAUGACUGAAGCACCUAUAAGGAAUGAUCUCUUGAUUGGAACAUAAGGUUCAAAAUCAAGAGGGAUGUUGAAGUGUUGAAGGAAAAGAGUAACAAGAUGAGGAUAAGGCAAUGGGGCAUUCAAUCGCAAUGCCUUAUGCAUGCGAUAUCUAACAAGGUGUGCCCAAUCAAUUUGUAAACCUUUAUGAAAGGCUUACAUGACAAUGAGAUCUUCUUCAGAAACCUGAGCAAGGUUUGAAGAUCUAGGGAGUAAGAUGCGAACAAUAAGGUAAUGGAGGAUGCGGCUCUCAAAAGCCAAUGAACCGGCAAGAAGCCUUCCGGUCAUAUCCGCUUGAUUGGUGCAAACCAACCGGCGGGCAUCAUGCACAGAGAAAUCGAAUUUCCAUUCAUCAAUUAGUGCAUCCCCAAAAGGUACACCUUCACUAGGCAAUUUUGUUAAAUCAUAAAAUAGGGAUUGGUCAAUGACCAUCUUAAUCCCAUAAACUUCAGACAUUAGGGUACCUUCAUGGAUUUCUAAAUUAGAAUAGAAAGCUUUGACUAAUUCAGAAUAGACAGGUAAUUUCAGAGACAUGAAUGGAAUAAGAUUGGAGUUUUCAAAUGCUUGGAAGCAUUCAAAAUUCUCAUUUGAGAAGAACUCCAUAUCAAUAAAUUUUGGGUCUAUAAUGGAACGAGAGAAAAAGAGGUUUGUGUACCGUAUACACUGUUCUUCUGAUGAGAAUAAUGAUCCAGAGGGAAUGGAGGAAGGAAUUGGGGCUUCCUGUGACCCUGAAUGCCGCUGACUCCGACUCGAGGUUCCUUUCUGAUUUUUCGAUGGUUCCGCCAUUUGAGGAGUUUUUUUUGGAAUUUCAAUCGGUUCAAAUGAAAGAGAUUGAAAAAAGAUGAAGUUUGGGCUUUGCAGGGAGUGAUUUGGACAAGAAUUGAGUGAGAUAUGGCUGGAAGAAAAAUUGGGGGCAAGGGUUUUCGAGAGAGAGAAAGGUUGCAGGUUUCAGAAUUUGAAAUUUGAAUAUAUAGGUGCAGGGACGCGUCGUAAUCGAUUACACAAAUAUGGUAAUCGAUUACCAGAGAGCAACUUUGCCAGAAAUAUCUGCUUGUAAUCGAUUACACUAUUAUGGUAAUCGAUUACCAAUGGUUAUUUUAGCCAGAAGACAAAAAACAGAAGGCUUUCUAGGAGAGAAGAAGUUUUGAAAACUAUAUUUGAAAAUACUUUAUGAAUAAUUUUCAAUCAUGUAAUUUACAUAUCAUGUCAUGCAAAAAUAUUUAAAACAUGAAGAUUAUCAAUUUUAUCAAAAACAAUCAAAACACAAGUAUGAAGAAUAUUGAUUUUACUUAAAUAUAUGAAUAAAUAUAUCAUGCAAAUAGGAUGAAAUCAAUCAAGCAAAUAUACUCAUGAUUUCAAACAAUCAAAAGACAAACAAAUAAAGAAUUGUUAGUCAUCAUAAUCAAAUUGUUUGAAUAAAAAUUUCAACUUUAAGAGAAAUUUUAAUAAGAUAAUGGUUUUGAUAUUACCUUUUUCAGGAUUGAAGUGUCUAGAUCUUCAAAGAUGAGGAUCAUGCUUUUUCUCCUUGUUUUUCAUCCUUGAGAGAUGUUCUCGUCACUUUCGUAAUCUUUGGUUAGAAGAUUAAUCUCCUUUUCUGAACCAUCGGAUGAAUCAUUGUCAUCCAAUGCAAUGUAUGCUUUCUUAGUUCUUCUUUUGUCAAAUCUUUUUUUUUUUUUUCACUUUUCUCCGACCAUUCUUCAUUUGACGGGCAGUUGGCCUUGAUGUGACCAAUUUGGUUGCAUUUGUAGCACCUAAGGACUUGAGAAUCAUCUUGUGAUUUUCUUCCAUUAUUGAAAUUCUGACGCCUGUCAAUUCUUCUUUUCUUGAUGAAUUUCUGAAAUUUCUUAACAAAGAAAGAAAAAUCUUCUUCAUCAUCUGAAUCUUCUUCUUCGUUUUCUUCUUGUAUUGAAGAUGAGGCUUUAAGGGAUAUGUUCUCUUCUUUUUUUCAUUUUCUUCAUUUUGAUUGAGGCGUUGAAGUUCCAUCUCGUGUUCCUGCAAUUUACCAAUUAAAGUGGCAAGAGACAUGGAAGAGAGAUCUUUGCUUUCAGAAAUAGCAGUUACCUUGGGCUGCCAUUCCCUACUUAAACAUCUUAAGACUUUAUUAAUUAAAUCUUCAUUAGGAAAGAUUUUUCCUAAAGAUGCAAGAUGGUUUACUAUAUGUGUAAAUCUCUUUUGCAAACUAUGGAUAUUUUCAUUUGGGUUCAUCCUAAAUAAUUCAUAUUCAUGGGUAAUGGUAUUUAUUCUAGACCUUUUUACAUCUGUGGUUCCUUCAUGGGUUAACUGAAGAGUAUCCCACAUAUCCUUGGCAUUAGUACAAUUUGACAGUCUAAAGUACUCAUCUAUCCCUAAGGCUGAAGUGAUGAUAUUUUUGGCUUUGAGAUCAUACUGGAUUUUUCUCCUAUCUUCUUCUGUCCAUUGAUCUCUCGGUUUUUGGGUUGUAGUGCUUGUGCUUACAUAUACUAUAGUGGGUAUAUAUGGUCCUACUUGUAUUGCUUCCCAUAUAUUUAGAUCUAUGGCUUCAAUGAAUAUCUGCAUGCGGGUUUUCCAAUAAUGGUAACCCUCACCAUUGAAAAUGGGUGGUCUGUGAAUGGAAUUUCCUUCAGGAAACAAGGGAUUUGAGGAGGCCAUUCUACAAGAAACCUGGCUCUGAUACCACUUGAGUUGUUCUUUGAUUGAUCUUUAAGCUUUUUGUUCAUCACCUUUGUCAUCAUAUUUUGUUGUCAUCAUUGUUAUCAUCAAAACACCUUUGAAUCACAUUCACCAUGAAGCCUUGCUUCUACAUCAACAACCUAGAAUAGGUUUAACUAUGAAGCUACUGACAAAGACUUGGAUCUAUAAUCUAAUAAAAAAUACUGAGACUCAAUACUACUUGGUUAUCAUGCUGCUAUAAUCAUUACAGGAUCUUAAUUUAUGAAGCCCAGAUACUCUAAAAAAGAGACUAAUUUGAUCACGAAACUCUAUUUUUUAUAAGCCAAUAACUUCUAUUAAUGUAGAACAUGUCUAGCACAAGUUGUGCUAAUGUGAACAACAAAAGCUCAUUCACUACAGCUACUAUAUGUACUGCCCCAUGCUAACAGCAUGCUUACCAUUGUCCUGUAGAUACAAACAAAAUGUUCUUAGCCAAUACGCUGGCUUCUUCUGAAACAUUAGUCCCUAGUUUUGGGUAGAUUUGACAUCUUGUUUUGUUUCCCAAUUUUGUUGUUUUAGAAUUCUAAUACAUACUUGUGCAUUUUUCAUCAAUUAUAUAUUUUUAUUGCUGAAUUUUUCUUCAAUUAUAUAAUAUCUUUAGAUACAGUGGAGUAAUUAAGAAUAUUUUUCAAUAUAAUAUUAAUAAUUUUUUUUAGACAAUACUUAUAAUAGAGAACAUCAAUGCUAUUUUUUUUAGUAGAAUUUGCUUUGAAAAAAAUAUAGUCAUCUCUUCAAAGAGCUGCAUAAAAUGAUCAUUUGUCAAAAGUUGUAAAAUAAUAAAUGAGGAUAUUUGAAUAUAAAUUUAUAUAGAUUAAUAAAUAUUUUUCAAUAUAUGUGUCCAACAUGUACCCAAUACCAAAAUGGCUAAAGAUACUGUUGAGAACCUCAUAAUACAGUUUCAUUUCAAAUAGACAUGUAAUGUAUUUUUUUUGUUAAGUUUCCCUUUUCAUGUAAGUUGUUCCAAAUCAUGUUGCAAAAGGGAGCCCCCAUCACCAAUAGGGCUUGCAAACAACAUUCCCAAAAACCAAAUGCAUCUUCCUUCUCACGAACAAUCUCCUACAAGCAACCAUCUGCAUUGUUGAAGUUGUUGGUGGUUCUAGCUCCUCUUUUGGUUCUCUCUCCUUCGCUGGGUGUUGGUCUGUGUUCCCCAAGUUGUUAUUGCUAUUGUGCAUUUUUGGUAAUGUAUCAUGGUUUUGUCCUAUCUUAAUUUUUUUUAUAAAAAUUCUGUAUCUUUAUCUGUAUCAUAACCAUAUCAUAUUAUGUAUAAAUUACUUUGUUUUUAAAGUAAUGUUUGAGAUGUAAAAUAACUAAAAUCCAGGAGUGAUGGAAGAUUUUGCGGAAGCUUUGAAGCGGGAGGAAGAUGGAAGAAAGAAGAGGUGGAACUCCGAUGACGUUGAGUUUGGGGACACGGAAGGAGUUGAGGUGGAACUCCGGGAGGGAGGGGUCAUAGUCGAGGUGUAGCAGCAUAUGCGACAGCAGCUUCGCCGCUUGGGUUUCGGCUGGAACGAGGGUGUCAACAUUGGCUUUCGUGGCGGAGGUGGCAAUGGUUUGGAGUUCGGGUCCCGGUAACUAGGGGGUUUCUGUAGAAUUGGCUUGGGUUGGGGUUCUUCCAUGUGGAAGCGGCAUGAUUGGUGAUAAGAGGCUGAGAAUGAGCAGCGGAGAGAGAGAGAGAAGUGGAAGCAGCAUGAGAUGCAUAUUAGUCUACCUAGCACUACGUGGACACCUCAUUAACGACGUUACCUUUGAAUGUAACGACAAUGACUAUUUUGCAACACUUAUGCAAAGAUAGGGACUAUUUUGGAUUUUUCAUUAAGUUAGGGACUAAUAUGCAACAGGGGUACAAAGUCAGGGACUAAAUUGCUUAUUUACUCGAAAUUUUAAUGACUUAGAAAUCUUGAUUUGUUAGGUUUUGGAGGGCUUCUAAGAGACUCUUGUAGUCUUUUGGCAUCUGCUUGGAUUAUUUUUUUUUGCAUACCCUUUGAGAAGCUUCUUUUAGUAUGUCAUCUCUAACCUUGUGGUUUGAGAAAUCUUCUUAUGGUUGAUGCUAUAGAAGUUUCUAAUACAAUUUUUGUUUGUUUUCGGGGUAAUUUUCCCAUUGAUAAAAAAUAUAUGAAAUUUGUGGUUCCUAAAAGAAGUGGGUUUAACGAUUUGGUAGUUGCCACAAAUUUUCUUUUUAAUCUUUAUACACACACACACACACACAUGCACACACAUAUUUAUCCUCAUUUAAAGUCGUUAAAUGUUGUUUGAGAUGAACGUUAUCUGGCUUAUCAUUGUUGAAGUGACACCUUGGUUUUGAUGAUGACAUUUUUGAUGUGGAGAAAACUUGAAUUUAGUGAAAAAGUUGAUGAAGUGGGUUUUCCUCAAUAGCAUGUGAAUGCCAUCAAAGGUGUGGAUUUUCUCUUGAAUCCAUGACACUUGUUGUUGGAGGUGAGUCUUCAAUGCAUGACAAACCACAUUUUCUAACCCAUGUUUCGAAAUGGACUAGCUUGCUUGACCUAUUUUUGGCAAGCUUAUGAUGAGGUAGGCCAAAAAUAAGCUAAACUGGUGUAUUUUGUCAUCCUUAAUAUGUUUUAGUUGUCUUAAAAUCAACUAGUUCAUCAAUUAAGAGCACACUGUAAAAGAAAAAAAUUUAAUUAAAAGUCACUAUAUUUACACAUUGUUUCAAUGUUUUGUUUUCUUUUGAUACACCUAAAAAAUAUUUACACACAUGCUAUCACAUCUUUACCUACUCAUCUUGGUCAUGUUUGAUAAGUAUAUAGUUUUUUUUACUUGCUUCUUAAAAAAAAUUUUAGAUGUUAUUUGAAGUAGUUUUUUUUAACAUAAGUAAGAUUAUUAUUAUUAUUAUUAUUAUUUCUUCUUCUUCUUCUUCUUCUUCCAUUUAUUUUAACCAUGAUACUAAUUAUAUAAUUUGUACUUACCAAAAUUCGAAGUUGGCACACAUCAGAUUGGAUGUGGCUAAGGUGAGCUCUUGUACUUUGCACGUUGGACAUAGAGUUUCCUUUGUUAAGAGAACAAGAGGGGGGACCUGCAAAACAAAAAUCUCCAAUGCUCAAGUAAGUAUGUAAGUUAGGAGAGUAAGUGAGAAAGUAUACGAUGUGAGCAGGUGUGUGUUUGUCUCAAGUGAGUACGAAUGAAUGUGUGCCAAGAGUACGAGGGAACCUAGUACUUAUAGUGUAGAGUAGGAGAUGUAGGUUCUUAUUGAUAGGGGUUGUUACAGCAACAUAACAGUCCUUGCAAAUAAUUACCGGCUUGUAGAUAAUAGCCAGUAGAUAAAGGUAGUUUAUAGAUAAUGUUACAAAUAACAUGUAACUUAGAGAUAAUUGUUAGUAGAUAAUUGCACAUUAGUGAUAAUGUGUAGCUUUGUAGAUAAUUGAAUACCUGCCAAGAGAUAAAGGGCUGGACAUCUGUGCUCCUGUGCCAAGUUGGCAUGGAGGGUUGACGUGUGUCUUAGAGUGUCACGUUGCAGGGCACAUGUAUUUAGUGGAAUCUGGAUAGUACAUAAGCCCCCCAAGCUCUGAGCCGACUUACAAGCGAAAGAGGUUGUCCAAUGUCGAAGAAGAUUGUCCCACGUUGAGGGGGAUUGUCUAAUGUUAGGGUUAGUAGCCUUUACAAGUAGGAGGGUGAUGAGUCGGUCGAGCCCCCAAGCAUGGACAUGUAUUGUUUGGUGUCGAGGGUGGUAACCUCGACUGGUGUGAGAAUUACAGGUCUGUCAAGUUUUUCAAGCCCUCUAGCCUAGACAAGUGUUGUCUGGGCUUCUUCUGUCAAGUUGUCUGGGAUGGACAUGCUUUUUGUUUUGUAGGUGAGGUCUGACGUGUCAGGUGAGGGAAGCCUCUGUAUCUGACAACUUUGUCCUUUUUUUUACCAUUGGAGAGUGUAUUGAAGAUAGAUGUUACAUUUUUGUCUGUUGCCAGAGGCGUGUGCGGCGCACGCACAGUAAACUUGCAUACGUGUCACUCGUGGAGUGGGCAUGUACUGGUGACGUGGUACGAAAAUUUAGGGUACCACUUCAGUUCCCGCCAAUUAUCGAAGAGUCCAUCUUUUCUUUAAAUGGAGUGGACAUUUGAUUUCUGAUCACUGUCACUUCAAAUUUCUGCCUUUUUUCUCUCAAAAAUCUCUUUUGCUUCUGUGCUUACUUGUUGUGAUUCCCUUUCUUCUUCAUUCAUCUUCUUCAAUUUUUAAGGUAUUCCUUCUCUAACAAUGUCUUCAUUUCUAUCUGACUUCGCCAUUGGCAUGGGUGGUAGUGAUUUCGAGGGUUCGAUUCAACAACCCCUGGUGGACCGGAAGAUUGUUUCCGUUGGUGGUUCCUCCUCAAAGGACACUCGCCAUGAUGCCUUUAAUAGUGAUUCCUCUUCCUCAGAGAGGUUGAGGGUUUUGUGUCGUGCUGGUGGAGGCACUUCUCGCUUCCGCGGGAAGGCACAACCUUUCACUGCUUCCCCGGUAGGAGAGCCUGUCUCGGUUACUAUGAUUCUCCCCCCUUCUGUUUUUGGGGGAGCAAGGUGAAGUGGAUGGGACAUUAGGGCGUCCCCCAUGUGCAUCGCAGCCAUAGUGUUGGGUCGCUAUCAUCCCCUCUUGUCGUUGCUAGCUUUGAAUGGGUGAGGGAUGAUGUUCAGAAGUAUAAGUCCUCCAUCACUUUUUCAGUGAGUGUCGUUGCUCUGCAAUGCCAAGUAAAAUUGGAAAACCUUAAGGACUCUUGCAAGUAAGUCUUCUAGGCUUGCAGGAGCGAUGCCUUUCCUUUCCUGAAGACAACAUUGGGUUGUCCGCCCUUUUUUUUUAUGUACAAGUGUCUAUUCGAGGUCUUAGGUCUCGUUCUCCCCUUGACUGCAUUCCAGUGUGCUUUGCUUGAGCACUUGAACGUGACUCCUUCUCUACUCCACCCCAAUAGUUAGGCCAUGGUAAGGGCCUUUGAGGUCUUGUGCCCCUUCUUCAACAUUCGGUCCAGUGUGCUAGUGUUUCUUUAUUUCUUCCAAAUAAAACUUAUGGGCAACAUUGGUUGGGUCUCCUUGAACAGCGUGUCUAAGAAGCUGUUUAAGUUUGAAUCAAAGGUUUCUUCAAGGUCUUGAUUAUUGGUGUCGUGGCUGAUGGUUUGCCAUUCAUGUUCAACUGGGACAAGGAACCCUGCUUCCCAUUCUAAUAGCAGUCUGACCCCACCAAGUUGAAGUUGUUUGAUGAGGAUCUCUUGACCCUUGUGGAAAGGGUCAACAAGCCUAUCUUAGAGCAUCUGUCGUUGCCUUCUCUGAAGUUGUGAAGUCCAACCAUCAUCUGUCGUCUAAGGUUGGUAGUGUGCUUGCCAAGUUUUUGUGCACUCAGCUGGAUGGUGAUGAGCUAUUUAAGCACUGUAGGGGCUUGCAAGGGGAGAAAAAUGAAUUGGUUGAAAAGGUGGAGAGUAAUGGCGGUAGAGAAUGAUGAAUUUGCCAAGGUGGUGGUGGACCUCGAGGUCUAACUGAAGGAGUUGAAGUCCAGGUGUCACAACCUACCCUUCAACGGGAGGGCGAGGCGAGACUCAAAGGUGCAUCUUCCAAAAAGGAAAACAUGCGAGAGUCGCCACCAACGCUUAUUUGAGGAAAACGUUAGAAAAACCAAAAAGGGGUCUGCGAAUUUUAAGAAUAAAGGUUCGGGAGUUGUUUAUGUACGGGGAAGGUAUUAGCACCCCACGUGUCCGUCACAAGGAAAGACAACCUUUAAUCGAGUGUGCAAAAUCAUGACUUCAAUAUUUAUUUUAUUUUCCCUUUUUUAUGUUUUUUACUUUUUGGGGUCGACAAGAGUGUGACCCUUGCUCCUAUGUAUCCUCAAGUGCGAUGAGGAACUCAAACCUACAUAGUUCUUUGGUCUGAAAGUUUGUGUGUUUAAUUAUUUUUAUGUUUUUGAAAGAUUGAUUUUAAUUACGAACAAAAGGUCGUUUAAGGCAUUAGACUUUGAAACGAUCUUUUGUAUUUUUUUAAGAGAGGAGAUAAUCAUUAAGGUGUUGGACCUUGAAACGAUCUCAAUGAUAUUUGAUAAAAAAAAGAAAUUAGUUAUGAGUUGGUUUUAUCUUGGUUUUUGCUUAUUAACGUUCAACCUUACUUUACUAAAGAAAAGCGAUUACCGAUGAUAUGAGAAGGAGAUGAAGAUGCACAAAACAAUAAAGAGGACCCCUAAGGGUCUAUACAUCAUAUUCAAAUCCUUAAAACAACAACUAAUCGGAUGACGAAUGAAGAAUGAAGUAAGGAAUCAUCACGGUCGCGGUUCAGUAGUGCCUCGACCUCGUUUCCUCUUCUUUCUCUCCUCUCUCAAUUCCCUCAAUUUCUGACCUUGGCACCCAUCUCUUAGCCUCCCUUAUGCCUAUUUAUAGCAAAUAAGGGGGUUAGGGGUCAUGACAGCUUGCCCAGGCAAGCUGUUGCUUCAUCCUGAAGUAAGCUAGCUCGCCCAAGCAGGCUAGUUACUUCACCAUGAAGUUAUUUGGUGGCCCAGGGUUCAGAAAAAGCCUUAAAAUGACCCUUUAGCCCUCCCCUUUGUAUAUUUUUGCAUUCUUGAUCAAAACAUUGAAUGAUCAUCUGUUUCGCACUGUAAUUGGCAUUUAACACCGUAAGUCGACUAACAAGGAUCAAAAUAUCAACAAAUGAUAGUCCCCAAACGAAAUUAGGGUACGACAAUUGCCCCUUUUUACUUAUCUUUUAUUGGAAAUAAAAGGGAAGUAAAGAUAAGGAUACUAAUUUUGUUCGAGCGAUCUUGCUAUCCGAUCGGAAACUGGCGAAAACCAAGGAAGUGAAACCAAGAAAACAUGAAGACAUUGAAAUUCUAUAGAGCGGAAGACAUUUGAAGUUCUUCUUUUUUUCUUUUUCAAAGCAUAGAAAUAGAGGACGUCGAAGACAAAUGACAUUGUAGUCUUUUACAAACAAGGACAUUGAGUCCUAUAAAAGACAAAUGACGUUAAAGUCUUUGAAAUGUAAAUGAAGACAUUGUAGUCUUUUGAAAGCGUAAAUGACUGAAGACAUUGAAGUCUUUUGUAAUGUAAAUGAAGACAUUAUCAUCUUUUAAAAGCAUAAAUGACUGAAGACAUUGAAGUCUCUUGAAAAGUAAAUGAAGACAUUGUCAUCUUUUGAAAGCGUAAAUGACCGAAGACAUUGAAGUCUUUUGAAAUAUAAAUAAGACUGUGAUAGUCUUGACAAAAGACAUUGAAGUCUUUGAAAUGUAAAGAAGACUGUGAUAGUCUUGAAAUGUAAAGAAGACUUUGAUAGUCUUGACAAAAGACUCUGAUAGUCCUUGAAAUGUAAAGAAGACUUUGAUAGUCUUGACAAAAGACAUUGAAGUCUUUGAAAUGUAAAGAACAUUGUGAUAGUCUUGACAAAAAACAUUGAAGUCUUUUAAAUGUAAAGAAGAUUGUGAUAGUCUUGACAAAAGACUCUGAUAGUCUUUGAAAUGUAAAGAAGACUGUGAUAGUCUUGACAAAAGACUCUGAUAGUCUUUGAAAAGUAAAGGCAGAAGACAUUCAAGUAUCUGCAAGAUAAAGGCAAGGACUUUGAGUCCUAUGAAAGAUAAAUGUGAGGACUUUGAGUCCUACAAAACAAGCCAAUAGGUACUAGUACCAAAGGGCUUAACCUUAUGAGAAAGCAAGAGGUUGACUCUUUGAGAGGGCCUCUCAUCCUAAACUUGAAAGAUUAGAUAUGGGAAUGUGGUAUAUAAAGAGAAAUCUAUGCACUUAUAGCCUAAUAUGAACAUGAUUUGGGAUGCAGAUGCAUGUAACCUUCAUCUUGAAAUGCUAGUAACGCAAAAGGUUUUGAAUCAUGAAAAUUGUGUAAUGCUCAUGACAUUCUUUCCUAUUUUUUUUGUGAUUUUGAUUUUGAUUUGAUUUUUUUUUCUUUUUUUUUUAUGGAAAACACAAAUUGAUUUUCACUUUCUGGAAGAUGUGAUAAUUCAUGCAACCUCAUUCUAUUUUGUUGCAAAUCUCUUCGGGGACUCCCUCAGAGUGUAUGUUUUGUUUGAUUUAGUCACUUGAAAAUUUUGGAGUGACGACAAUGGAGCCGUUUGACAUUUAAUCAAUCAACCGAAAUAUGGAUUCUAGGGUUUUCCCCUUCCCUUUUAAAAACUUCAAUUAUUCUGCACAACAAGAAAACAUAAGGCUUUGGAAUCGAUCACAACAAGAAAACAUAAGGUUUUACCCUUGCCCAUUGAAGGAUGGCAAUGGAUUGUCACACUUUGGUAUGUGAACUGAUUUAAAGUCAUAGAGUGAUGCCAAGGGUCUGUCGAUCCCACUAAAGCAUGAUGACAUGGGUUGAUCCCGAAAGAAUUUAUACAACAAAGGCCACCCUUGGAUUCAAAAGGAAUCCUAAGUAGUCUGCAUGAGUGACUAACAUCAAUUGUACCCUACUAUUACAAUUGUCUUUGGGCAUUUCCUAUGAGCUCCUGGUCGAAUGAGUUUUCUUCUCAAAUGUGCAAGUGUGAAACCUCGAGGAUUUUCUCCCUUUCUUUUUUUUACAUAUAUUUUUUCAACAAUCACAAGCGUGUGUGGGUUUUAUUCCAAAAUCCCAACUUAAAAGUGAAAUUAGUCAUUCCUUGAUCCACAUGGGCUUUAUUGGACUUGUAACGCGGUCAGGGGUAAGAGGGCUAUGAAAGAAAAGAUCAGAGAGGCUUAAAGAGUGUUUAUUGAGUAAGAACCUUGAGAGUCUUGCUUGUACUUUGUUCAUUUCAACUCUUAGGUUGGGCUUUAUUCCUUUUGCCUUAUAAUCCUUUAUUGCACUUUUUGUGCCUUCCUUGUAAAAUCUGGAGAUCUUUUGUUUCUUUUUCUUUCUUCACUCGCCUUUGGCAGAUUUUAUCUUUUUUUUUUAUUGUUGCCCAACUUCAUGCAUGUGUUCUUUGCAUUGCUCUUCCUGUCGAUUUAGCGGUGGUUCCCACUCAGGGUUUCUAUUUUGCUUUUGCUGUUUUUUUUAUUGUUUUUUAGAAAACAAAUAUGCUUUGGCUCGAAGGGGGUAGCAAAGGAUAAACUAGUGUUUUAGAUGUUGAAACAUAACCAUGUGUCAUUUCAAAUCUUGACAUAGAUCCUUUUGUAGUUUGGAUUUUGGGACAAAACCUUAAUAACAUGCCCUGAUUGUUUUUUAUUUAUAUCGACCCCAAUUUUUGCUUAGGCCGCCCUUUCGGGUUUUUAACCUACCGGGUGAGAACUUUUGAUCUGCCCCUAGGUUCACUUAAGGCUCAUUCAUGGUGCCUCUCACUGUCCCAGUGCAGGGCUCUAAGGUAUCUAUUGUUGUCUUUUGUUAUGACCUUGUAGCAAGGAAAAAUGAAAGAAACUGUGCAGGUUCUGGAAAAUGAAUUUUCAAGGACGAGAAAUAUUUAAAAGAUUUGCAACUGACAGAUUAAGUCAAAUGGCUCCUGUUCUUGGUAACUCACUUUUUCUCUCAAAAAGAAAACUUUUAAGAAUGAGGUUACAUGAAUGUCUGUACUUCUUAUUUUGAUUUAAAAAAAACAGUCAAUCAAAUGCUCUUUUUCUUCUUUUCUUACUUUACUUUUCGUUUAUGGCACCCCUACCAAACGUAUAGAACGAGCAGUAUCUGAUUGAACAGACUUGGAAAUCAACCCAAGAGCACAAGUCACUUGAGUUAAGAAACCAAUGACUUACAUUCACAUUCCAGUGGAAGUUAAAUAAGCAAAGAUGUAAUUGUGAGAGAAUGAGAGACAUCAAAUUUAUCCAUAUUAUUAGCAUUGUGACUGUUGUUUAUAGUAAUGGCAUAAACUUGAAAAUCCUAAUGAGUCAUUGGAGAUAUCUAACAACAACUUUCACAUUGCCCCAAGCAUCACACAUAGUAUGGCUUGACAACAUUACAAUUCAUGAGCGAUUCUCCUCCUCGAAUCUCAGCCAGCCUGCAUCAAUUAGACUUUGCACCUUAUGUUUCAGGGUCAUACAAUGCUCAAUGGAAUGCCCCGGAACUCCUCCAUGAUAAGCUCAUGUUGCAUUCAAGUUGUAUCCUCGGAAAAAUGGAGGUUAAGGAAUCUUUGUUAGGGUUAUGACUGUCAUUGCAUUAUCGAGCAGAUAGGGGAGUACGUCAACAUAUGACAUUGAAAUUGGGGUGAAUUCUACAGGCUUCUUUUCUGGAAAAUUCCUUCCUCUGUUGGUGUUUCGGUUUGUGUUAAGGAUGGUGUUUGGUAUUGGAUGUAUGUCAGGAAGGCUUUGUGGCUGAUUUAGUUUUGGCCUUUGUGGAUGAUUGAGUGUUCUUGGUUGAUAGGGUGGUGGGUAAUGAAAAUGGCUGAUAUUGGCUGAGUAUUGAUAUUGUUGAGCUGGUGGGAAAUUUGGCCAUGUAGGAACAACAGUCACAUCAUGGGUUCCUCCCUCCUUCUCAUUCUCUCCAUUUGCCCCAGGCUUUCUAUUCAUCAAAGCAGGAUAAUCAAAUUUUCCUCUUCUCAGAUCCACUUCGAUCCUUUCGCCAGCAAACACUAGAUAUGUGAAGCUUGAAGGCAUGUAACCCACCAUCUUCUCAUAGUAGAACACUGGUAAUGUGUCUAUUAUCAUUGUUAUCAUCUCCCUCUCCAUCAUUGGAGGUGCUACUUGAGCUGCCAAGUUCCUCCACCUCUAGGCGUAUUCCUUGAACGACUUAUGCUCUUUCUUGCACAUGUUCUGCAGUUGCAUUCUAUCUGGAGCCAUAUCAGAAUUAUGUUGAUACUGCCUAAUGAAGGCAACCAUUAGGUCCUUCCAAGAAUGGACUUGGGAAGGUUCUUGAUUAGUAUACCAGGUGACAGCUGCCCCAGUAAGACUUUCCUGGAAGAAAUGCAUCAAUAAUUUUUCAUUUUUUGAGUAUGCUCCCAUCUUCCUACAAUACAUCUUCAGGUGAUUCUUGGGGCAAAUAGUCCCCUUGUACUUAUCGAAGUCCUGCACCUUGAACUUCGGAGGGAUGACGACAUCAGGCACAACUCUGUCAUGUCGGCAAAGGCAUAAUUUCUGCCCCCUUCAAUGACCCUCACCCUUUCCUCUAUAUGAUCAAAUUUUCGCCUUUCCACCAUAGCAGGAAGGACUCUUCCCACCACAAAAUGCAAGGGUUGUGGUUGUGGGCAAAAUUGAGGGCCCUCCAAUGUGUCCGGCAAGGGUAUACCACCAACUUCUUGCCCCUUAGUGGCAUAUCCGAGGUGAGGUUUGAAGUCGGCUAGAUUGUGGUCUUGGGGUGCUUUAUGUGUGUAGAAGCAAGCUUCAUUGCUUCAUGAUGAUGAAUCAUGAUUGAUUCAAGGUGUUUUGAUAAUAACAAAGAUGAUGACAAAAAGCCCAAGAGAAUGUUCAAGAUUGAGUCAAGAACAAUUCAAGAAUCAAGAGAAAGAUUCAAGAAUCAAGUUUCAAGCCAAGAAUCAAGAAUCAAGAAUAAUCAAGAUCAAGAUUCAAGACUCAAGAUUCAAGAAUCAAGAAAAGACUCAUUAAAGAUAAGUACUAAAAAGUUUUUCAAAAACAUUGAGUAGCACAUGAAGUUUUCACAAAAUCUUUUACCAAAGAGUUUUUACUUUUUGGUAAUUGAUUACCAGUUUAUUGUAAUCGAUUACCAGUGACAAGUUUUGUUUUCAAAAAAGCUUUCAACUGAAUUUACAACGUUCCAAUCAAUUUCAAAAUGGUGUAAUCGAUUACAAUAUAUUGGUAAUCGAUUACCAGUGUGUCUGAACGUUGAAAUUCAAAUUCAAAUGUGAAGAGUCACAUCAUUUCACAAAAAUGCUUUGUGUAAUCGAUUACAAUAAUUUGGUAAUCGAUUACCAGUGAUAAGUUUUGAAUAAAAAUAAAAAGAUGUAACUCUUCCAAUGGUUUUCAAGUUUUUCUAAAGGUUAUAACUCUUCUAAUGGUUUUUAUGACCCGACAUGAAGAGUCUAUAAAAGCAAGACCUUAACUUGCAUUUUACAUACAUUGAAUACAUUGAUUUCAAUCCUUUACAACCCUUGAGUCUCUUUGAACAUCUUCUUGAAUUUCUUCUUCUUCUUCCUUUGCCAAAAGCUUUCAAAAGUUUUCUGGUUUUCCAAACCUUGAAAACAAAACUGUGCUAUUCAUCUUUUUCAUUCCCUUCUCCCUUUGCCAAAAAGAAUUCGCCAAGGACUAACCGCCUGAAUUCUUUUUGUGUCUCUCUUCUCCCUUUUCCAAAAGAACAAAGGACUAACCGCCUAAAUUCUUUUGUGUCUCCCUUCUCCCUUGUCAAAGAAUCCAAAACGACACAUUCUGAGAAUUCUUUUGAUUCUUUCCAUUCCCUAAAACAAAAGAUUUCAAAGGAUUAACCGCCUGAGAAUUCUUUUGUUUCCCCAUUCACAAAGUUUCAAAGGACUAACCGCCUGAGAACUUUGUCUUAACACAUUGGAGGGUACAUCCUUUGUGGUACAAGUAGAGGGUACAUCUACUUGGGUUGUUGUAACUGAGAACAAGAGAGGGUACAUCUCUUGUGGAUCAGUUCUAGUGGAGGGUACAUCCACUAGGUUGUUAAAAGAGAACAAGGGAGGGUACAUCCCUUGUGGAUCUUUGCUUGUAAAGGAAUUUACAAGGUUGAAAAGAAAUCUCAAGGACCGUAGGUCGCUUGGGGACUGGAUGUAGGCACGGAUUGUUGCCAAACUAGUAUAAAACUCUUGUGUUUGUCUUCUUCUUCCCUACACUCUUUAUUUUCCAUUGUGCACUUUAAUUAUCACUUUUAAUUUUGGUUAAGUUUCUAUUUCUGUUCUUUACUUUCUUAACAUUAUAGUAAAAGCCUAAUUGAAUUUAGUAACAUUAAGAAGGAUAGAUUUUUAAUUAGUAAAGGCCUAUUAAUAAUUAAUUCAACCUCCCCUUCUUAAUUAUUCUGAGGCCACUUGAUCCAACAAUGUGUCUCCCCCAUGGGUUGAGAGACAUGUGCAUGAUCAGAUUGGGGUUGUUGGCUCUCAAUGGGUAUUGUGGCGUCCCUAAAUAAUGACUGGUUUAAUAGUAAUAAAUUAAAUAGCAAAAACCAUGGGAAAUUUUCUUUUUCUUUUUCUAUUCUCUCUCUUUUUCACAGUAAUUAAAUUCAGAAGGAAAAUUAUCACAUAGAGUCCUGAAUGGCCGGUUCACAACUCUAUUCGGAGUCAUUUCUUUCUGAUCAUUCAUAACCUCUAAACUAUUUUGCUCUUUCAAAAAGAAAAAUAUACCAGCCAUCAUUUUAGGUCGUCACGUGAAAAAUAAUAAAACGCGGUCGAUAAACUCUUUUCAAUAAAGUUUGUUAACACUUUCUUUUCAAAUAACAAGAUUAAACAUAAUUACAUUCAUAAUCUAAAACAGUCCAAAAUAUGGGAGUUUGCAAAAUACAUAGUGACAUCCAGAGCAAAGGUAUCAACUGUGGUGGCUUCAGCCACAUAUAUACAAUCAUAAAAAAUUUCUAUACAAUAGGUCUACCCAUCCAAAAAUCAAAAGAGUAAACCUAGCAGUCUGUACUAGAUACACCCACCCACAAAAGUAUGUAAACCUAGUCUAAGGAGCCGUCUGCUAUGAUGAAGAGCCCUCACUACUCGCUGUCCCCACAGGGCCGCUCUCCUCUGUAGAGUCUGCCUCAGAUGCUGACAUGAUGUCCUCUAGAUAAUCAACAUCAAGGAGUGGGUCUUCAUCAUCCUCAGGUAAGUCAAGAGCAUCCACAACAGGCUCAGGAGGUAACUCCUCUGGGUCCUCCUCAGGAUCCUCUUCAGAGAAUGACACCUCUAUCACUUGAACUGGCUCCACUAGUCGAUAUGGAGUAGGUAUGGUAGUAUCCACUCCACAGGCUGCUGAAGCGUGCGUACGGGUUCCUCUGGAUGUACCAAUGAAGUAGCAGCGAGUCGAAUCAUGCCACGAAAUCGGCACCUCUCAUUGCCUUCGAGGGUCUCCCAAACUCCCUCUAGGCACUCCAUCACCACGCGAUCAUGGAUUAACUGCGCUGCCAUCGCGAUCUACAAGAAAUAAAAGGAAGAGGGUAGACUCUUUCACAAGAAAUCUAACUACAGGCAACAAUACAAGGCGUCCCAUAAUGGUUACGCAUAGUCAAAAUAUCCUUCUCAAGGGAUUUCCUCUCUGGUAAUCGAUUACCAAAGUAUGUAAUCGAUUACCAGUGCCCAAACUUGAGUUACACAGCUUCUGCACAUGGAAACCUACAAUUUACACUGUGUAAUCGAUUACACAUAACUGGUAAUCGAUUACCAGUGCCCUGUUACUCUGUGUAAUCGAUUACACAGCAUUGGUAAUCGAUUACCAGAGGCCACCUUAACAUCCUGUCUCCAUUUUUAAGCCUUGUAAUCAAUUACACACCCUUGGUAAUCGAUUACCAGAGGCCAUCUUAACUUCCUGUCUCCAUUUUUAAGCCUUGUAACCGAUUACACACCCUUGGUAAUCGAUUACCAGAGGCCAAAUUCCAGAUACCACUCAAGAUUCAUAGAUGGCCAACCACCACACAAGCCUCCUUGCUUUGUGAUCUUUGUUCUUUUAUUGGUUGACUGCCAGGAGCUCGCCUGUUUAGGUACGUCACAGGUUCUCACUGGCUGACUAUGCCCGGGUUGGGUCGGGAUUGGUCAAGCUUGGUUUUGGGCAAUAGCAUCCCACCUGACGACCGCAAGGUCUCCUGACCCCCGCGACAUAUCUCCAGGUACCACUUUGUGGUCAACAAACAAAAGUAGGAAGACUGACUCUUCCACACUUUCUCACCUCAAGCUUGUUGGAUUAUGGGGUACCCGUCAUAUGUGAUACUAGGUGGCGAUCGGGCGAUGGUGCAAAUCAACUCUCCCACAUCCACAAAUCAAACAUGAACCCACCAUCCCCAGUUGCCCACCUUCAACUUAGCUCACGUACUCCUACGUAGCCCUUAUCCUCGUUCCUCUCAGCACCGGGUCCCCAUCAACCCCUCCAAGCUUCCAUAAUAUCCAAGCAAUUCAAUUCCAACUAUCAUGAACUACCCUAAAUCAAGAAAACAGGGCAGAGGCAGAAAACUCUGCCCAAAACACAUUCACAUAUUACAACUUUCCUUACUCAAAUACCCCAGUAACAUUCCCUUCGCUCUGAUUCGUUAACCGUUGGAUCGACUUGAAAAUUUUACUGGAGGUUCCUAGUACAUAAGUCUAUAUUUUGACCGUUGGGAUCUGCUAUAAAAUGUCCAGAACCCAAUAUAUAAUACCUUUCCCAUAACCAACAAUGCACAAGCAUUUUCUGCACAAGAACAAAAAUUAUGCUGCACAAUUCAACAACAAAUUUUCUGCAUAAUAGGGCAGAUUUCGAAAUCCCUCUUGCCCACAUCCAAUUUUGCUCAAAUUGGAUCCUACAAGUCCUAAAUCAUGUAUAAAUCGUAUUUAAACCAAAAACAAGCUUCAGGUCAAGGUAAAUCCAAAUCUAGGUAUCCAAAACCCAUUAAUUGAGUGAAUUUUCAAGGUCUGAGAAGUGAAAAUGAGAAUGGGGUAAUUUUGGAGUAAACUCUUAUCUCAAACAAGUCUAUAACAUUAAUUUAAACUUGCUCAAAUUGGUUUUACGGCGAAAACUCCACCGAUUCAAAAUUUGACCCCUCAACACCCAAUUUACCCUAGAAAUGGCUCUUGCUUUCACCUUUGUCACUCAUUUUUUUCUCAUUUGCUCUGCCCAAGCUUUCCCACAAGUCCUAUUUGACAUUUUAAACUAGGAUUAACUCACUUUAGCCUCCAAUUACCACUAACCCCAAAUUUAGCUUUUCAAACCCUCAAAACCUCACACUUUUCCACUCACAUUUAACCCUAGGUUAACUCUCCCCAUCAUCUCUACCAGUUUUCUACCAACAAUUUCAGCACACAAACAUCACAAAGCAUCAUCAUAAAACCCUAAAACAGAAUGGGUAAAUUUGACUCACAUCAAACAUGACAAGUUUAGCAUGCUUUCAACAAAUUCCUUCACAAAUAACUACCAUAGGGCAUUAACCUAGUAGAACUACCCAUCAUAUCUCCCAAAAACCCAAUACCCACGAAAUUCAUGUGAGAAGAAGUCUACCCAAACCUGAAAUUCGAAGUCCCACAACGUAGAGGUGCGCUUCACGACUCCGAAAAUGGCUUCCUUUUGCAAUUUGGAGUAGAAAUGGUGAACAAAGUUUGGAGCUUUAAUGGAGAGGAAGAAGAAGAGAAAAGCAACGUGAGAAGGUGAGGAAAAGCUUUCUGAAUUUCUGCUGAGUGAAGAGAGAGAACGUGGCUUUUUAAGAAAAAUGAUUUUCUUUUUCCUAUUUUUUUCUCAUAAAGCACUUGCCACUUGUCCCAUUUUGAGUGGAACAAAAAGAGGCCCACCUCUUCCCCUUGAUGUGACUUCAUACUCAGUCACAAGGAGAGAAAAAAUUGACUUUUUGAAUGCUAAAAUCCUGCCUCAGUUUGCGUGCCGCUUCUCUGGUUCCAGUUCCUCGCGUUUCUCUGCACCCGUCGGGGCCCGUUUUCGAAAGAAAACAAUAUAUAUCAAAACCCUCAUAAUGAAACCCUGAGCGUGGUUCAGAGGUUGGUUUUGUUAAAUUAUUAGUUGAACGCAAAACGAUAAUUUUUAGACUAAUUAAUUGAGAAUUAAUCUAUAACUGUCCAGUUAUGGAUUACUCUUCGUUAAUCAGCCUAACCCGCGUAUCUUUCCCCCAAUGUACAUACUUCUACCAGGAGUAUACAUAUAUACAUUGAAUAAUACAUACAUACAUACAUAUAUAUAUAUAUAUAUGUAUAUGUAUGUAUGUAUGUAUGUAUUAUUCAGUGUAUAUAUGUAUAUAUAUAUAUAUAUAUAUAUAUAUAUAUAUAUAAUUAUUUAAAAUAUAACGCUUACAAAAUUCCGGGUAGAAAUUUUCAGGAUGUCACAGGUAUGGGUGUUGAGUUGCCGAAAUUCUCAUUGGGAGUGUGUGCAACAUUGGGUGAUGUUUAGUUAGGAGGCAAACCAUAUGGUGGGAAGGAAUACUUGUUCUGAACCUGCACAAAAUGGGUGCCACCCGUACUUCCUAACGCUUCGCCUCCCUGUCUUACUAUAUCCGAGACUGGAGGAUUUACUUGAUUGAGGCCAGAUGGGUGAGUCGAGUCCACUUCUGUGGCAGUACUUGCGGUAACAACUGUAGCCACAUUGACCUCUAUUAUCUUCUUCAUGCUCAACAUGGCCUCCAUCAUGGCGGCCAUUUGGUCUUUCAUGGCCUCCAUGUCAGCCUUCAUUUGCUCCUGAACUUCCUCUAUUUCACUCAUUACUCUAGCUCUAGUACGCGUUCGGUAAGGGCACUGUAAAGCACGUUCUUUCCUUUUGAUUACAAUGAUUACAGUUCUGAUUUCAAGGAAAGAAUGCAAUGAGCAAUGCCACCAAUGUGAAAAGAAAAAUAAGCAUGGAUGUAUGUGAAUGAUGCAUUGUCGAAGUAUUACAAAUUCUACACAGGACAUAGGGUUGAAUGAAUUUAGAUUUUCAUUAAAACAACGUGGUUCAUCACAUAUUGCUGGAAAUAAAACAUGGACGUCAAUAGUCCUUAAUUUUUGUAAAUUGACACAAUUAUGUAUUGGCAGUAAACAAAGAAACGAUGUAACUCGAUCCAUCUUCUGCCCCACUUUUGCAAGCUGGUUACUUCCAUACUUGACCUUGACUUGAUGAACCUUUCCUUAAAUCAUGUGCUUGGUUCAACCCCAUAAUCCAAGGAAUAGCAAUUGUAAUCGCCAAUACUAUGAUAGCAUAUCAUGGAGAUGAAUGACUAGGGCAUACUUAUGCUAUGCACGACAAAUGUAAUUAUGAGACUGAUAUAAGAUGCCUGAAGAACCAUCAUUUCCUAGUUAACCAUGAAUUAGGUACCAUGUUCACAUGAUUUUCAAUCUUUUUUUUUAGAGAAAUGAGUGUAUAAUCCCAACAUGGUUGGUUUAUAGUCAUCAUCAUGGUACCCAACACAUGUAACUAAGAAUGUGGUGUAAACUUUCAUGCUUUAUUGUGAUUUUCUCUUGUUUUUUUUUUGUUUCCCUUUUUUUUGCAAUGGAAAAUGCAAGGAUCAUGCAUGAGUGAACAUAACAUAUGAAUGAUGGAAAUAGAAUAUAUGCAGUUGGCAGAACAAAAGCAUGUUAAAUAAAGGUGUAAGAUAAUGCAGUGAUUUAUGCAAAUGCAAUGCAUGAAUAUGAUAAAUGAUAAAUGCAGGAAUGAUAUGCCCAUUGCGAUGCCUUGAAGAGAUGCAUGAUGUGAUCAAGGAACAAGCCAGAGUGAGUUUGCUAUGUGCCUCUUAAUUCAGGAACCUAAUGGAAAAGUUCCAAAAGUCCACUUCUAGUGAUAAUUCCCAAGGGUGGUUUCAUGUAACUUUACCGGCUUCUAGAGAUAUUAUCCUCUUAGGUAAUACAUUGUGGCGAUAGGGACUAUUAGUGAAAAUGCAUCACCAAAAGAGGAAAAAUCUAGAUGAGGCUUCACUAUUAUCAAGCGAGUCGGGGACCUAACAUAACCAUAGAUCGACCUCCACUCCUUAUGGCUCACAUAGGCCUGGGUAUAGGGGCUAAUAUCUCAACGUGUGUGCGAGGUGUAGGUGCCAUGUGUGCAUAGAAAAAAAUAUUUCUAACUAUGAAUGUAAUAGAUAGACAAACACACACCAAACACAACAACAUAGCAAAGGUUAUAUACCAAUAUGGACAAAACAAAAGUUAAAAGGGAAGAGGUGAUAAGGACAUGACCAAGAGCAAGGGCAAGGAUCCACUUGAAGGACUUGGAGGACCUAUGACAAGGGCUAGAGCAAGGAAAGCCAAGGAAGCUUUUCAACAAGUGUUGUCCAUACUAUUUGAAUACAAGCCCAAGUUUCAAGGAGAAAAGUCCAAGGUUGUGAGUUGUAUCAUGGCCCAAAUGGAGGAGGACUAAAUGACACCACUUUGUCUCAAUUUUAGAGUGUUUAAUUUGUUUAAAUAAUGGCCCAAUCCUUGUAAAGUUGGAUGACCAAAAAUAUGUUUUGGGUUAAUCAACUAAAAGGGCUUUAGUUUGGUUUAGUUCAAGUUGUAAUAAGGUCCCAAUUGGCAACCUAGGCAUCAACCUUUUGGGAGACCAAAUGGUGGUUGGCUUGAUGGUUGUUGGGGGUGACUUUUGGUUGCCACAAUUUCAGUUACACUCAGCCAUUAAGUUCUUUUAAUUCCCUAGGUUAGUGGCAUUAAGUUCUUUUAAUUCCAGGUUAGUGGAUCAUUACUAACAAAUGUCUCUAGUGGAGUCACGAACUGUCGCAACCUACCCUUCGGCAGGAGGGUGAGAUGAGACUCAAGGGUGCGUCUUCCAAAAAGGAAAACGCGCGGGAGUCGCCACCAACGUUUAUUCGAGGAAAACAUUAGAAAAACCAAAAAAGGGGUUUGCAAAUUUUAGGAAUAAAGGUUCGGGAGUUGUUUACGUGCGGGGAAGGUAUUAGCACCCCCACACGUCCGUCACAAGGGACAACAACCUUUAAUCGAGUGUGAAAAAUCAUGACUUCAAUAUUUAUUUUAUUUUCCCUUUUUUUAUGUUUUUUACUUUUUGGGAUCGACAAGAGCAUGACCCUUGCUCCUACAUAUCCUUAAGUGUGAUGAGGAACUCAGACCUACGUAGUUCUUUGGUCUGAAAGUUUGUCUGUUAAAUUAUUUUUAUAUUUUUUGAAAGAUUGAUUUUAAUUACGAACAAAAGGUCGUUUAAGGCAUUGGACCUUGAAAUGAUGUUUUAAACUUUGAAAAGCAGAGAGAGUCGUUUAAGGCAUUGGAUGUUGAAACAAUCUUUUGUUUUUAAAAGAGAGGAGAGAAUUGUUAAGGCGUUAGACCUUGAAACGAUCUCAAGUGAUAUUUGAUAAAAAAAAAAAGAAGUUAGUUAUGAGUUGGUUUUAUCUUGGUUUUUGCUUAUUAACCUUCAACCUUUUUUUUAAAGAUAACUUGCAGCACUAAUGAUCGGUUAAAACUUACUUUACAAAAGAAAAGCAAUUACCGAUGAUAGGAGAAGGAGAUGAAGAAGCACAAAACAAUAAGGAGGACCCCUAAGGGUCCAUACAUCAUGUUCAAAUCCUUAAAACAACAACUAACUGAAUGACGAACGAAGAACGAAGUAAGGAAUGAUCGCGGUUGCGGUUCGAUAGUGCCUCAGCCUCGUUUCCUCUUCUUUCUUCUUCUUCUUUCUCUCAUUUCUCAAUUCCCUCAAUUUUUGACCUUGGCACCCAUCUCUUAGCCUCCCUCACACCUAUUUAUUGCAAAUAAGGGGGUUAGGGGUCAUGAAAGCUUGCCCAGGCGAGCUGGUUACUUCACCAUGAAGUUAUUUGGUGGCCCAGGCGAGCCAGAGGCUAACCAGGGCGAGCCAGGGUUCAGAAAAAUCCUUAAAAUGACUUUUUUGCCCUCCCCUUUGGGUAUUUUUGCAUUCUUGAUCAAAACAUUGAAUGAUCAUCUGUUUCUCACUGUAACUGGCGUUUAACACUGUAAGUCAACUAGCAAGGAUCAAAAGAUCAACAAACGAUAGUCCCUGGAUGAAAUUAGGAUAUGACACCAGGCUGAAGGAGUCUGAGUUAUGGGUGGCUAGGGAGAGGGAGACCAUUAAAGAGCUUGAAGAGGAGCUGAUAAUGUACGAGAAAGAGGUUGCGGAGCAGAAUGAAAAGGGCUUUAACAAGGCCGUCAGGGAGGCCGGGUUCUUCACCAAGGACCUUGACUUGGGUCUUUUUGACCCUUUCAAGGACGUGAAUGAUGGUGUUUUGCUUGAGGACGAAGACAUUGCUGCUGAGGAGGAGGCUGGCGAGGAGCAAGGCGAUGAUGCCAAUGUUUAGGCUGACUUUUCUUUGUUUUUCUUCAUUGUUGGAUUUUUGUUGCAUAGGCUUCGUAAUUAUGACACUUAUUAUUUUUCUUUAAUACAUGUGCUUUCUUUUGUUGAUGAAUUUUGCACCGUGUAUAUGUCUUGUAUGUUGCCUUUGUCUAUAUAGUGCUUUGCUACUUGUGGUAGUAUGAAUAAGCCGCCAUCAUGAGAGUAAAAUCUUUGACGGCAUAGGAAUCAAGACCUUGGCAUAGUGAGGAUAGGUCGCCUUGACAAGAGUAGAAUCUUGACGGUGAAGCAUGCAAGACCUUAACGGUCUUGUGUGAAAUAGAGAGUUUGAUGACACGAAAUCAUCUCAAGUUUGAUUUCAACCUAAUUAAAGGUCUUGCCACUUAUGUGGUGGUGUUUCCUUUUGCUUUGUGGAGCUUCUCCUCUAGUUGAAGGUCCAGUGGCUUGUCCUAGAUGAAGGUCUUGUCAACAGUCCAAUAAUUGGUCAUCUUAACCUAUGGAGUUUCUCCUCUGAUGGUUGUGAGUAGUUAGUGUGACUUCAACCUAGUUGAAGGUCUUGUCGCCUAGUCUAAUGGUAGUUUGUUUAGACUUGUGAAACCUGAACCUUUAACUAUGGUCGUCGUGGUUCUUAAGGAGCGAGCUGACAAAGGGGGUGCCUUGGGUUUUGUAGGAGUGCAUACCAAGCGUGGACCUUGGGUUUAUGCACCAAGAGCAAACCUUGGGCUUUUGAUGUUCCUGCAGACUUGUACUCUUGCACAAAUAAAAAUUAGGAAUAAAAAAUACUGUCAAGAGUAGACCUUGCGUACCUUAAGUGCCCUGAAGAUGAAACUUAGCAAAUGAAGGGCUCACAAAAGGUGGACCUUGGGUUUAACAAGCCAAAUGAGCUGCUUUGAGGCUCACCAAGGGCGGAUCUUGAGUUUGACAAGCCUUUGGAGAAAUGAUCAGCGAUGUGUCUGUCUUGGAUUUUGGCGAGACUCGCCAAGGGCAGACCUUGGGUUUUAUAAGCCUUUGGAGAACCAACCAGGGAAUUGUUCAUCCUGGGUUUUGGAGAGACUCGCCAAGGGCAGACCUUGGGUUUUGCUAGCCUUUGGAGAACCGGCUAGGGAAUUAUCCAUCCUGGGUUUUGGAGAGACUCGCCAAGGGCAGACCUUGGGUUUUGCAAGCCUUUGGAGAACUAAUCAAGGAAUUGUCCGUCCUAGGUUUUGGAGAGACUCACCAAGGGCAAACCUUGGGUUUUGUGAGCCUUUGGAGAACUAACCAGGGAAUUGUCUGUCUUGGGUUUUGGAGAGACUCACUAAUAGAGGACCUUGGGUUAAAUGAGUCUGUAGACUCACCAAGGGUGGGCCUUGGGUUAUGCAAGCCUUUGGAGAACCAACUAGGGAAUUGUCCAUCCUAGGUUUUAGAGAGACUCACCAAGGGCAUACCUUGGGUUUUGCGAGCCUUUGGAGAACUGACCAGCAAUGUGUUCGUCUUGGAUUUUGGUGAGACUCACCAAGGACAAACGUUGAGUUUGAUGAGCCUGUGGAGCUGCGACCAGGGAUGUACCUGUCCUGAAGACUUACCAAGGAUGGAGCUUAGGUUUAAUGAGCCCCUGUAAAGUUGACACAAGAAAAUCAUAAAAAUGACGGGAUGUAGAAUCUUAUUCAAUGUAGUUGAUUGAGUACAAAUUACCUUUGUUAUCCCAGAUGUGCCUCAUUAAAACCUUUCAAGCCAAAACCCUGUUUUUUCUCUUUUGGGACGAAAGACUUGAUUAGGAAAAAGAGUACAACAUCUAGUCUUGCAUUAGGUCAAUUGAAGUAGAACUUCAAAUGGGUAGCAUUCCAUGUUCUUGGAAUCGCUUUGCCAUUUACUUCCUGUAGUCUAUACGCUUUGUUGUCUAGGCUUGCUAUGACCCUGAAUGAGCCUUGGUCUUCCCAAUUGGGACCAAGCUUUCCCGCUUGGGGAUCUUUUUUGGCUUCGCCUCGAACUCGCCACACGAAGUCGCCGAGUUGAAAUGCUCAGGGUUGAACCUUUGUAUUAUAUCUUCUUGCUACUCGAAACUCAAUAGCUUCUUCUUUGAUCCUAGCCAUUUCUUGGACUUCAUCUGUUGUCUUGAGUUAUACCCUCAUGUUUUCUUCUUUUUGUUGUUGCUGGAACAACAAUCUCCUUUUUGGCGGUUCCCCGACUUCAACGGGAAUCAUGGUGUUUGUGCCAUAUGUGAGUCGAUAAGGAGUUUCAUUGGUCGAGGUCUGGGGUGAACAACGGUAGGCCCUGAGUAUACUAGGGAGUUACUAUUUCCAUAGACCCUUAAACUUGUUGAGUCUAGUGCGCAGGGCCUUGAGGAUAACUCUGUUGGCUACUUCUACUUGAUCGUUGGUCUGAGGAUGUUCGACAAAGGUGACAAGGCGCUUGAUGCCUAGCCUCGUCAGGAAGUCUUCAUAAGCAUGAUCUUUGAAUUGCGGGUCGUUGUCAAUGAUGAUGGCAUGUGGGAGGCCGUACUUGCAUAUGAGGUGUUUCCAAGUGAACUUCUCCACCCCAUUGACUAGAUAACGUAGUAGCCGGGCUUCUAUUUCAGAUGUUAGACUUCGUUCUCGUCUGAUAGCAAUACCCCCUGAAUUAGGAAAUUCUUGUAGGGGGUCAUCUAGUCUGGUUCCUCCUCUUCUCCAGCCAUAACUUCUCCAGUGUCUAUGGUGGGAGUUUGGAGCGUCUCCUAGAUGAUAGUCUUGAGGUGCCUGAUCUUUUUAGUGAUAGCAAGCUUGGAGAGAAAGUUUGCUCUGGUGUUGCUUUCCCUAGGUAUGUAGUACAUCUCAAAGCAUUCAAAAUUGUCAAUAAAAGUUUUGAAAAUGUGGUAGUACUUGAGCAACAUUGUUUCCUUGGUCUGGUAUCUGUUGGCAACAUGCCCCUAAACAAGUUGCGAGUCUGUGUAGCAUCGUAGGUUCUUGACCCCGACUUCUCUUGCUAGUUUUAGUCCUGCAAUAAACGCCUCAUACUCAACUUGAUUAUUCGAGCCUUUGAAGUUGAGCUUGAGGGCUUGCUCUAGAGUGACAUUGUCAGUGCCUUCAAGGAUGAUUCAUUCCCCGUUCCCCUUCAUGUUGGACACACGAUCAAUAUAGAGGCUCCACCAGUCUAGGGUGGUUUGGUCAUUCCCAACUAAUUUUGCUAGGAAGUCUACGGACCAUGCUACCAUCCUCCCUGCUAGUUCAAGCUUUCACAAAACCUAUUUGAUAAGUUAGUUUGUCUUGACUACCACUUGGUGACUCUGAAAGUAUGACCUGAGACAUCAGGCUGAGGUGAUGAGUGCUAGCGCCACCUUUUCUAUCAUUUGGUAGCGCUUCUCAAUGUCAUGGAGUAUGCGGCUGGUGCAGUCGAUAGGGAGUUGGUGCUUCCCUUCCUCUUGUAUGAGGGCUGAGCUAACGACUUCGACAACUACUAAAAGAUGUAGGAGUAGGAGUACUCCUGGCCUAGGUCGACUCAGGACUGGCAUUGUGGCAAUGGUCUUCUUGAAGACUAAGAAGUCUUGUUUGCAGGUCUCGUCCCAUAGGAAUGACUCAAUUUUCUUAAGCAUUUUGUAAAGUGGCUUCACCUUUUUGGCGAGCUUGGGGAGGAACCUGGACAAGGAUGCUAGUCUACCAUUAAGCUUCUGGACUUCCUAGACGUUAGUAGGACUAUGCAGCUCUAGUAUGGUUGUGCAUUUGUCAGGGUUGACUUUUAUUCCCCGAUGUGUGAUCAUGAAGCUCAAGAACUUGUCUUUGCUGACCCCAAAAGUGCAUUUCUCUGGGUUGAGGCGCAUGUAUAUUUUUUAAUUUCUCCAAAUACCUCUUCCAGGUCUAUCACAUGUUGGGUUAUGCUAUGGGAUUUGACCACUAUGUUGUUGACAUAGACCUUGACAUUUCGUCCGAUCUGUUGUUUGAAAAUCUGGUCUAUCAAUCUCUAGUAUGUAGUACCUCCAUUUUUUAGGCCAAAGGGCAUGACCUUGUAGCAAAAGUUGGUAUCUUCAGUGAUGAAUGUCAUUAUCUCCUCGUUUAAAGCAUGCAUCUGGAUCUGGUUGUAUCCGGAGUAGGCAUUUAGGAAGCUUAGUACUUGGGACUCGGAAGCUCCAUCAACUAGGCCGUCGAUGUUGGGUAGAAGGUAUGCAUCCUUGGGACAUGCCUUGUUCAGAUUAGUGUAGUUGGUGCACAUUCACCAUUUUUUCAUUUGAAUUUUUUACCAUGACGACGUUGGUGAGCCAGGUGGAAUAUCUAACUUCUCUAAUAAAAUUGGCCUUGAGGAGCUUGUCCACUUCUUCUGACUGCUUUGCAUUGUUCUUGUCCCAUAUUCUUCUUCUUCUUCUGUGAUACCUUUGGCCUAGGGACAGAUAGUGAUCUUGUGGCAGAUAAUGCUAGGGUGGAUUCCGGGCAUGUCAGAUGGCUGCCAAGCGAAUAGGUUCGUAUUCUUGUGUAGGACAUCAACUAUGUGUCUAUGCUCACAAUUGGUGAGGUCCUUGCUGUUGGAUCAAGUGGCCUUAGAAUAAUUAAGAAGGGGGGGUUGAAUUAAUUAUUAAUAGACCUUUACUACUUAAAAAUCUAUCCUUCUUAAUGUUACUAAAUUCAAUUAGGCUUUUACUAUAAUGUUAAGAAAGUAAAGAACAGAAAUAGAAACUUAACCAAAAGUAAAAGCGAUAAUUAAAGUGCACAGUGAAAAUUAAAGAGUGUAAAGAAGAAGACAAACACAAGAAUUUUAUACUGGUUCGGCAACAACCCGUACCUACAUCCAGUCCCCAAGCGACCUGCGGUCCUUGAGAUUUCUUUUCAACCUUGUAAAAACCUUUACAAGCAGAGAUCCAUAAAGAAUGUAUCCUCCCUUGUUCUCUUUGAACAACCAAGUGGAUGUACCCUCCACUUGAACUGAUCCACAAGAGAUGUACCCUCUCUUGUUCUCAGUUACAACAACCCAAGUAGAUGUACCCUCUACUUGUACCACAAAGGAUGUACCCUUCAAUGUGUUAAGACAAAGUUCUCAGGCGGUUAGUCCUUUGAAUCUUUGUGAAGGGGAAACAAAAGAUAUCUCAGGCGGUUAGUCCUUUGAAAUCUUUUGUUUAAGGGAAAGGGAAGAAUCAAAAGAAUUCUCAAACUGUGUCUUUUUGAAUUCUUUGAAAAGGGAGAAGGGGGACACAAAAGAAUUCAAACGGUUAGUCCUUUGUUCUUUUGGAAAAGGGAGAAGAGAAACACAAAAAGAAUUCAGGCGAUUAGUCCUUGUUGAAUUCUUUUUGGCAAAGGGAGAAGAGAAUGAAAAAGAUGAAUAACACAAGUUUUUGAUCAAAGAACUUUUCUUGAAAGAAAAAGUUUUGAACAAAAACUUUUAGAAAGAUGAAAAGAAGAUGAAUCAGAAAAAAAAACUGUUGAAAAAGUUGAAUGAUGUUCAGAGAGAAGAUUGAAAGAUAGAUUUCUUGAUUGUUGUUCAAAUUCAUGUCAUGGUCACAUAUUUAUAAUUUCUUGAUGACUCAAGUCAAAGUUUGUGACUCUUGGCAAUUUCUUUUAAAACUAGUCACUCAGAAAAGUUGUGACAUUUGAAAGAAUCUUCAAAAACAAGUCACUUGAAGAAUUAUGACUUUUGGAAAUGUAUUUUUCGAAAACAGUCACUGGUAAUCAAUUACCAUUAAGGUGUAAUCGAUUUCACAUCAACAUAUGUGACUCUUCAUUUUGAAUUUUGAAAAUCUUAACGUUUUAAAACACUGGUAAUCGAUUACAUGUUUAUGGUAAUCGAUUACAACUUUGUAAAUCAAUUUGAAAAACAAUGCUGGCUACUAGUAAUCGAUUACUACCUUCGGAUAAUCGAUUACCAGAGAGUAAAACUCUUUGGUAAAAGAUUUUGUGAAAACUUAUUGUGCUACUCAAUGUUUUGAAAAACUUUUUAAUACUUAUCUUGACUGAGUCUUCUUCUUGAUUCUUGAAUCUUGAGUCUUGAAUCUUGAUCUUGAUUAUUCUUGAAUCUUGAUUCUUGAAACUUGAGUCUUGAAUAUUGAAACUUGAUUCUUGAAUCUUUGCUUGAAACUUUGCUUAAUCCUUGAUUCUUUGGCAUCAUCAAUAGGCUUUGGGCCUCUAUUAGAAGUGUCUUCGCACGAGUCUACAUCGACUUCGUCAUCCAGGCAUGCUUGGUAGAUAGUCAGGGCUCAAACUGGAGACCUUUUGUCCACGCUCAUGACCUGAGUGGUACCAUUCAUUAUUGGGUGAAGCUUGAAAGACUUCUUGGUGGGAGGAUAAUGUGCCACCAUCAGGCUUUCCACACAGCACUGUCGUGUUGCUUUUGAUCAGCCUUAACAGUCACAAUCUCUCGAGUCAAGGUAGGGAACUUCAUUUUUAGAUACCGUGUGGAGACGAUGGCUCUGAGCUCAUUGAGUGUUUUCCAGCCAGUCAAAGCAAAGUAAGAUGUAUUUGCAUUGACAAUUAAAUACCUGAUUGUAAAGCUCCUAGAGAGCUGGCCUUGACCAAAGGUGGUCAUGAGGUCGACGUAGCCUCUGGUCUCUACUCUUUCUCUUGUGAAGGCAAGGAGUGGAAAAGUGUGAGGUUGGAUGGUGUCAGAUGAAACUUCAAGUCUUUGGAAUGUCUUCUAGUAUAAGACGUCGGUGGAACUGCCCUGGUCGAUGAGGACCUUAGACACCAUGAAGUUGGCGAUUACGAUGGAGACAACCAUGGGGUCAUCUUGGUUGAUGAGGUCGAUACCCUUGAAGUCUCUAUUAAAGAAAGUGAUAGGAGGGAGACCUCAUGGUGAAGGUGCAUUGACAUAGUUGAUGUUGAUGUCCCGGAUGGCAUGAAGGUGACAUUUGCCAGACUGGAUGGAUUGCCCUCUGUAGGAGAAUCUAUUCGAAAUGAUGUUGAUUACACCUCUUAUGUGUUGGGCGGGGUCCUAUUCUUGUGGAGGCUAUCGAUCGCGUCUCUCCUAGUGGUGUCUCUAUCUUACUCAUUCUUUUGUUCUAUCUCUUCUUCUGUUUGUGUUGUGAUUCCUAUGCUGAUCCUCUUGGUGUCCUCCGGGUCUCGCUCCUACUUGGUGGUUGUCCGACCUUUCAAUAAAUUGGACUAGGUACCAAGUUUAUAUGAGCUCUUCUACUUUGUCCUUCAAGGUUCAACAAUCUUCUGUGUUGUGACCGAUACUAUGAUGGUACUUGCAGUUUUUGGUCGUGUCUAACCAAUGAUGCAAUCCUAACCCCCAAGGGCAUUGGAUAGAAGACUCCAAGAAGAUUGGGCCAGAGAUGCAAGAGAAGGCCCUAGGGUUCUCAUGAGCCUUAGGGUAGAUUUCGGGCCCAUGGGCUAAGUAUGAACCCACUUAUCUUUGUACAUAUUAGAUUAAUGUUUCAUUAUUUUUGGGCCUUGUAUUUAGGGCUCCAUAAUAUAGGUAGGAUACCCUAGAAAUGUAGGAUUUUUCAGCCCUUGUAUUUUAGGGCACAUAGACUAGUUUUUGUAUUAAGGGUAGUUUUGUAAUUUCACAUGCAUUAAGUGAAUAUUUGAUGUGUGUGUUCGGAAAUAAAUUUAAUUGAAUUGGGAGAAGCCUAAUCUAAUUAAAUUUUAGAGGGGGAGGUGAGCAUUUGCUUGUUACACCCCAUUGUCACAUCAUAUAGUCACACUUUGUACAUGUCCUUCAUGCUUUACAUGCCUCAUGACACCUAAGCACACUUAGUGGAGAAUCUUGGACUUGAUCUUGGAUUAGUCAGCUGAAUCAUAGCUAAAAUUCAUUAAUCAUAAUUAGUGAAAAUUUGACUCCACAAAUUCAAUUUCAAAUUCAAGUGAAAUUUGAAUAGAAAUUCAAAUUUCUCUCCAACUUUGUGUGACACUUAGGCUUAUAUAAAGGCCAUGUGUGUGUAUUUUUUCAACUUUCAUCAUUUGAGAAUUAUACUUCAAAGUUCAGAUCUCAUUUGAGGCAUAAAAUUUCAUGCCCCUUCUCUCCUUCUCCCUCCACUCAUCUUCUCUUAUCUUCAAGCUCUUAUCCAUGGCUUCCUAUGGUAGUGAGCUUGUUCUUGAUUCAUCUUCUUCUUGAAGUGGUGUAUAUAUAUAUGUGUGUCUGACUUCGAAAAGCAAGAGAGAGAUAUUAUAAGAGAACUUCAUUGCCAAAUUUUCUCUCAACAACUCUUGGAAAAACACUUGUAAAUCUAUUGAGAGUUCAUCCAGGAAUUUCAAAUUGUAUUAUCAUCUCUAAAAGAGAGAAAUUCCUUUAGGAACUUUAACUUGUAUCAUCCACUCUAAAGGAGAGAAAUCUUUAUGUUCAUCUCAGAAAGUCAGUUGUAAUCACGAGACUGGUUGUCUCUUGAAUUGUGAGUUUCCUAAACACAAGGGAAAGAGAUUCCUCGGGUGUUCAGAAGUUGUAAAAAGGAUUUUUUUACAAAGUUAGUAAAAGUCUCAAGUGGGUUGCUUGAGGACUGGACGUAGGCACAAAAAGUGGCUGAACCAGUAUAAAUUGAGUUUGCAUUUCUCUCUUCCCUUAUCUCAUUUAUGUUAUUGCAAUCAAUUUUGUCUUGCAUGUUUAAAGAACAUUAUUAAAUUAAUUGAUGUUUCUUCUUUUGCAUUAUGAGUCUAUCAUUUAGAAGGGGGUUAAAAUUUUGUUAGUGAAAAUUUGUGAAACUUAAUUCACCUCCCUCUUAAGUUAUUGAGGCCUCUUGUUUAACAACAACUCGUCCAUGCUACUAGGGGUUUUUUUUUUUUUUUUGCAUAAACUAUCCGCAAACUUACUAGGCCUUGGAGCGAGGAGGAUGGAGUGUAAUGCUACCUCUGGGUUGAGAUUAUGGAUUUGGACAACAAUGCAUCCAAACUUAUCCAUGAAUUUUUGGAGAGAUUCAUCAUCUGUUUGUCACAGGCUGGCCAGUGCGACAUAUUUCAUAUGAUGUGACCGGCUGGUUGCAUAUUGCUCACAGAAGUGCUUGACAAGAGUGUCGAAGCUAUUGAUGGACCUUGGAGGGAGUCUACUGUACCAGGUCAAUGCCGCCCUUUUGAGGGACAUGGGGAAGACAUGACAUAGGAUUGCAUCGUCAUUGGUGUACAUAUUUUUCCUAGGUCAAGAAAGUAUCCAAAUGAUCAUCUGGAUUGGUGGUCCCAUCAUACCACUUCAGGUUGAGUGGCUUCCAACCUAAGGGUAUGUCAGCUUCCAUGAUGCGGUCGUCAAAGGGUUGUCGACGAGUAGUCCGUCCUGUAGGUUGGUGCAUGUGGGAGAGACUUGGAUCUUCUUAACUAUUGAUUGUGCGUUCAGGGUGUAAUUCCCUUUGAGUGCGCUCAGGCAAUGUAUGAGCAGAGUGCUCGUCACCCUAGGGGCGUCAGAAAUGAGCCUCCCGCUGAUCGUGGUCAGCCUUUAGCUUUCUUAGCUCCUCCUCAUGGCGUCACUCCGCCUCCAUAAUGCGGUUUUGGAGUUGUUGGAGGGUGUCAGUAUUUGGCAUGGUUGUUGAAGGAGGAUUCGAGCCUUCGAAAAGGAUCUCGCGUCUGAGACUAGAUCGAGUGCUAACCAUGGGUGAAAGAGAGAGAGGUCGUAGGGUAUGUUUCACCACGACCCCAUGAUGGGCGCCAAAUGUACUUACCAAAAUCCAGAGCUGACACACGUCUGAGUGGACGUGGCUAAGGUGGACUCUUGUACUUCACACGUUGCACUAAAAGUUCCCUUUGUUAAAAGGACAAAAGGGGGGAACUUGCAAAACAAAAAACUCUAACGCUCAAGUAAGUAUGUGAGUUAGGAGAGUAAGUGAGAAAGUAUGCGUAUGUAAGUAGGUGUGUGUUCAUCUCAAGUGAGUAUGAAUGAAUGUGUGUCAAAAGGAUGAGGGAGCCUAGUACUUAUAGUGUAGAGUGGGAGCUGCGGGUCCUUGUUGAUAUAGGCUGUUACGAUGACGUAACAACCCUUGUAGAUAAUCACCGACUUGUAGAUAAUAGCCAGUAGAUAAAGGUAGCUUAUAGAUAAUGUUACAGAUAAAGAGAUAAUUGCUAGUAGAUAAUUGUACUUUACAGAUAAUGUGUAGUUUUGUAGAUAAUUGAAUACUUGCCAAGCGAUAAAGAGAUGACAAUAUAUUCAAAUAAUAAAAGAUUAGAGAUAACGUGACGGUUGAGAGCCUAAUUGCUAAGGGCUGGACGCCCAUGCUCUUGUGUCAGGGUUGACGUGGAUGGUUCACGUGUGUCUCGAAAUGCCACAUAGCAUGACAUGUAUAUUUUGUAGACCCUGAACAAUACAUAAUUUAUAGUAAUAAACACAAUUUCAUUAAAAAGUUUCAUUUUUACUUUUUAAUUAAUGACAAUUGCGAAAUAAUUUUAUGAAUUACAAACAAUUAAGUAAUAAUAAUUGUUUAAAAAGAUGUUAAAAAAGUAUCUAUAAAAUAAAGAUUUAGAAUAUGUUUUUGAUUCAUAUAAGUUAACAUUUUUUCACUUUUGAUUUCUUUAAGCUCAUUUUCCUAAUUUUAUUCUUUGUAAAUUUAUGUCUUUUUAAUUUUGAUUUCUGUAAAAUAUUUUACUUAUUUUUAAUUCUGUAAGUUUGUGUUUUUUUAAUUUUGAUUCCUAUAAGUAUAGUGUGAGCUUACAUAAGCUAUAAAUAAAAAAAUAGUUUAUAAGGAUUAAAAUUGAAAAAAUACCAACUUAAAAGAACUAAAAUUAAAAAAUAUACACUUAACUUACGUGUACAAAAAUGUAUGUAAGAAAAAAAAUAUUAAAAAAGUGCAGCCACAAAGGCUCCAAAGCCGGAAAAAGUAGCCAAAGUCCCAAUCCGCAGAUGCGCAACAAAACGAUAUCUGGCCGUUAAAACUUUCUUAUCGACGUUCCUUAAUUGUCCAAUUACAAAUCCACGGAUCGCGAAGAUAGGCCGUCGAUUAAUCGAAAGCCCAACGGCAGAGAUCAAACUUCAAAACCCGGAAGCUUCCUCUUCCCGCUCUAAUAAAUACCCCAAUCUUCUUCGCCGCAAUUAUCCAAAUUCAAGUUCGCACCAAAUUUUCCUCCCAAAAUGUCAGGCCGUGGAAAAGGUGGGAAGGGUUUGGGAAAGGGAGGAGCUAAGAGGCACAGAAAGGUUCUUCGUGACAACAUUCAAGGAAUCACGAAACCUGCGAUUCGUAGGUUAGCGAGAAGAGGUGGCGUGAAGAGGAUCAGUGGUUUGAUUUACGAGGAAACCAGAGGAGUUCUGAAGAUAUUCUUGGAGAACGUGAUUCGCGAUGCUGUAACCUACACUGAGCACGCUAGGAGGAAAACUGUUACUGCUAUGGAUGUCGUUUAUGCUCUCAAGAGACAGGGAAGGACCCUCUAUGGCUUUGGAGGCUAAAGAAUAGAAUCUUUAGGUUUAAUGACUGUGUUGCAGGAUAAAACAUUGGUUCU
rnacentral:lncRNA from 1 species